AUAAAAUAGUGGCCGAUUUAAGGUGUUAGUCUCUUAAAUUAAUUAUGAUAGUAAU
rnacentral:tRNA from 1 species